rnacentral:rRNA from 1 species
AUUGAACGCUGGCGGCAUGCUUUACACAUGCAAGUCGAACGGUAACAGGUUAAGCUGACGAGUGGCGAACGGGUGAGUAAUGCAUCGGAGCGUGCCCGAUCGUGGGGGAUAACGCAGCGAAAGCUGCGCUAAUACCGCAUACGAUCUGAGGAUGAAAGCGGGGGACCGUAAGGCCUCGCGCGAUCGGAGCGGCCGAUGUCAGAUUAGGUAGUUGGUGGGGUAAAGGCCCACCAAGCCGACGAUCUGUAGCUGGUCUGAGAGGACGACCGGCCACACUGGGACUGGGACACGGCCCAGACUCCUACGGGAGGCAGCAGUGGGGAAUUUUGGACAAUGGGCGAAAGCCUGAUCCAGCAAUGCCGCGUGCAGGAAGAAGGCCUUCGGGUUGUAAACUGCUCUUGUACGGAGCGAAAAGGUCUCCUCUAAUACAGGGGGCUCAUGACGGUACCGUAAGAAUAAGCACCGGCUAACUACGUGCCAGCAGCCGCCGCCG